rnacentral:lncRNA from 10 species
CGCGGGCCCAGCGGCCCCAGGCCGGGCCGGAGAGCGCCGAGCCGCCAGGCAGUGGAGGAAGAGAGGAGGAGGACCCGGAGUCUCGCCGCGGGAGGGUGCCCAGGGCGAGGGCGUGCGAGGGGGAGUGACUCCGCGCGCGAGGAAUGUCAAUCACAUAUCCAGAAUAUCACCUCCUUGGGCACAGCCAGGGCAUGGUCCAUUGAAAAUGUUCCUGAUUGCUGGAAGCUGACGGCUCACCAUAAAAGCCAAAAUGGGGACCUGUCAAAAAUGUUUUAGCCAAACUAUGGCUUGGCUCAGGAAGAUGCCAAGACCAAAGGCUGCUGAACUUUAAGUAUAAACUUGCAUGAAAAGCACAUUGCAGGUCUGAGACAGUGGAGGCUUAGUGGUGAGAACAUGAGCUCUGGAUAGACCUGGCUUCAAGUCUUGGCUCUGUCAUUCACCAGCUGUGUGAAUUUGGGCAAACCACUUUUCUUCUCUGAUGCUCAGUUCCCUCACCUAGCAAAAUGGGUUAUAAUGAUGGCAUCAACUCAUAAGGUUCAUGAGGACUGAGCUAGAUAAUGCAAACAACAUGUUUCAUAUACAAUAAUAAAUAAAAAUGUUGGCUGUUAUAAUAUUGUCACUGAGUCUACAUGUAUCUGAAACUAGCUCUUUUAAAUCCUGGGUACAGCUUUACAAGCAGUAUUGUGUAGUUUAGACAGAUCACCUGAGUUCUUUCUAUGUAAUUAUUGUUUCUACUGAACCUUGGUAAAUGUGUGAAAUCACAGAAGUUUGUCCCUAGACACUCCCCUCACCCCACUGGCUCCUCUCUCCAUUCUGUGCAACCCCAUUUCUGCAGCCUUGAGCUUCAGCCCAUUUCUCUCCAUUUCCUCCUCAUUAGCAAGAACUGAUAAAAUUAUUUGAACUGAUAUGUAAGUGACCAUCUCAUCCAGAGAUAUAGUAUUCACAUUUUAGUAGGUCAGAGCCUUAAGCCAAGGCAGUGAAAUAGAGUGGAUGGUACUUCAAGCAUUCAUCAAAGUAAUGGGGAAAGUUUGGGGUCCCAGGAGACUCUUCCCAAUUCCACAGAGUCCUGCCCAUUCAUAAAACUGGUACUAUUGAUGCAUUAUAAGCAACAAGGUGGUCCGUGUUUGAAUUCUGCAGCUGGAAAAUCAAGUCUCCAGCUUUUGCAAAAGUGUUGUAAUAGGGAAACUUGGACACUAAUUUUAUAUACCAACCUCUUCUUGGUAAAGAGACAUAGCUCAUGAGCACCAAGGCCUUUCCAGCAUUGCACAUCUAUGAUACUUAUACUCAAGUGCAUUUUUUUCUUCAGAGCUCAAGGCUAGAGUUGGGUGUUUUUGCCUCACUGGGUUUGUAGGAGACUCAGCUACAAAGUCAUUAAUUGCUUUGGUGAAUCAACAAGUAAAGAAAGACAGUCCAGCUAUUGUCCCCACACUGCAAAAUCAUAAGAGGCUUCUGGACUUCUCCACAAAAUCCUCAUUAAAGAUGAGUCCUCAUGGCUCUUACAGAAUUCUUUAUUAUGUCCUUUGUGCUGAGACUGCAAGGUAAAGAAAGAAAAAAGGGAAAUAACUAAAUUUGUUAUCAUGGAAAAUUUCAAACAUACAAAAGAUGAAAGAAUUGUAUAAUAUACCCCCAUGAACUUGUCAUUUAGCUUUGAAAGUUACCAACUCAUGGCCAAUCAUUUUUCAUCUGUACCCUACUCACACACUCCCCCACCAUAAUUUUGAAACAAAUUCCAAAUAUAAUUUCAUCUGUAAAUAUUUCUGUGAUUGCACCUUUGUUAUGGCCAACAAAAUCCAUCUUUCUAGAAGAGAAGUCAUUCUUCCCUCCCUCCAUGAUGCUAAGAACAUUUGGCCAGUACCUGCAUCCAUGCCCAGGAGUGGUCUCUGGGUUAGGCAAGCUUGAGGGUUUACUGAAUGUUAUCCAAAGUUUGUCCUUUUCCUUGGGUAGAAAAAGGAACCCAUAAAAUGUCUGGUAGAGGUGCCACUGUGUGCAAGCUUUUUUUUUUUUUUUUUUUUUUUUUUGUCAGCAGGGAUGAUGCUCAAUAGCUGUGAUGAGGUCCAAGCUGAGAGAAAAGAGUCAUGAUCAUGAAUCCCAACUGGAUUCAUCAUUUUCCACAUACUUUACUUCAUUUAGCUUUCACCAAUUCUCAUGUUAGUUCCAUUUUACAGAUAAGAAAACUAAGACCUAAGCUCACCCAGCUAGUAGUUACUUGUGGCAGAGACAGACUAGAUGCCAAUCAAAUUCAGUUCCUCUUUUCUGUAGAUACAGUUAGAUUACUUUCCCAGGUUCUCUUGCAGUUAGGUUUGGUCAUCUGACUAAGUUCUAGCCAAAGUAAUAUAGGCCAGUCCCAUGAAAAACAUCUAGGGCAAUUUAGCAUGUUCUUUCUUUCUCCAUCCACUGGCUGAAUGGAAAAAAUUUCAAGGGCUUAGAAGGGGACAGAGCCACAAGAAGGAAGGAACUUGGGUCCCUGGGUGACUAUGUGAAGUAGAGGUCCCUCCCAACUUCCUUUGAACUGUGAAAUACGCAAAAUAAAUAAAUAAAUAAAUUUUUAUUAUGUGAAACUGCUGAAAUGUGGGUGAUGUAUGUUCAAGUAGUAAUGCCUACCCUGACCAAUACAGUGGCAUAGAUGGGAUUUAAACCCUCAAUCUGACUAUGCCAGUGUCCAAAGUCUUCCCCUAAACCACACUGCCUCCAGGCACAACAAAUAAGAAUUGCUUAUAAGAAUCACCUACAUGCUCAGCAUGUGAUAGGACUGUCUUCAAGGAGAUCUCGCAUCUUAGAUUUGUGCUAAUAUGAUAGCCACUAGCCACAUGGGGCUGUUUAAAUUAAAGUUUAAAUUAAUUAAAAUAAAGUUAAAAAUUCAGUUUCUUAAUUGCAGGCUCACAUUUCAAGUGUGCAGUAGUCUUAUGUAGCUAAUGGCUACCACAUUGGAAUGUGCAGACAGAGAACAUUUCCGUCAUCAUGGAAAGUGCUGUUGGAUAAUGCUGUCUUAGAUAGACCUUCAUUCACAACGCACCCCUCCCCAGACCCCUGCAGAAAAGCUGGAAGAAGACGGGGAUGCUGCUCAC